rnacentral:rRNA from 1 species
GAUGAACGCUAGCGGCAGGCCUAAUACAUGAAAGUCGAACGGGUGGUCGCAAGACCCCUAGUGGCGCACGGGUGCGUAACGCGUAACCAACCUGCCCCGAUCUGGGGGAUAGCCCGCCGAAAGGCGGAUUAAUACCGCAUAUACCCGCAGCCUGGCAUCAGGCAACGGGGAAAGAUUUAUUGGAUCGGGAUGGGGUUGCGUGACAUUAGCUAGUUGGCGGGGUAAGGGCCCACCAAGGCGACGAUGUCUAGGGGACCUGAGAGGGUGAUCCCCCACACUGGCACUGAGAUACGGGCCAGACUCCUACGGGAGGCAGCAGUAGGGAAUAUUGGGCAAUGGGCGAGAGCCUGACCCAGCCAUGCCGCGUGCCGGAUGAAGGCCUUCUGGGUUGUAAACGGCUUUUCUCAGGGAAGAAAAAGACCUUGCGAGGUACACUGACGGUACCUGAGGAAUAAGCACCGGCUAACUCCGUG